AGUGAUCGCUGGCGGCGUGCUUAACACAUGCAAGUCGAGCGAAUUUCAGCAGUGUAUCGCUGAAGUUAGCGGCAGACGGGUGAGUAAUACUUGGGCAAUCUGCCCUUGAGUGGGAAACAACCGGCCGAAAGGCUGGCUAAUGUCCCAUAAGACCACAGGAUGGCAUCAUCCAGGGGUCAAAGCUCCGUAAGGGGCGCUUGAGGAGGAGCCUGAGGCCUAUCAUGGUAGUUGGUGAGGUAACGGCUCACCAAGCCUUUGACGGGUAGCCGGCCUGAAGGGGUGAUCGGCCACACUGGCACUGAGACACGGGCCAGACUCCUACGGGAGGCAGCAGUGGGGAAUUUUGGACAAUGGGGCAACCCUGAUCCAGCGACGCCGCGUGAAGGAUGAAGGUCUUCGGAUU
rnacentral:rRNA from 1 species